rnacentral:tRNA from 1 species
AAAGAUUUAGUUAAAAUUAUAACCUUAGAAUGUCAAACUAAAAUUAUCCAUAGAUAAUCUUUU